UGGCUUCGGGUCAGAACUCAAAGAAACGACCCCACUUGAGUUUAAACGAGGGAAAUGAUUUUUUCGAUGCAUGCCAAAGCUUUGAGGACUUUCCAUCUAGCUCUCUUUACUGGCCUUCUUCUGCAUCAGGUUGGUUUCAUUUUUGUUACUAUGCUUAAAGUUUUGAAAAUUUGAUGAUUGAUUCCAUCUGAAUGAUGAUGCAUGCAGCAGCAAAGGCAAAGGAAGAAGCACCUGACUUGAGCAAGUUCACGAAUGAGGAGUUGUCAUCAUUGCUUACGGUAUUUCCAUCUUCCAACACAGAGGGUCAUGACUGGCUGAACAAUGGUGAUCAAGAAGGGUUGAAUGUACAACC
rnacentral:lncRNA from 1 species